GGCCUCUCUCUCUCCUGGGGCUGUGGAGGGUCCAGUUUCUCCUCAGCCAAGGAUGGAGGCCAACAUCAGCCCCUGAGGACCAUUGUCAGGACUGCCAUGAGAGGGCAGCCUUGUUUUCCUGCCUCAAACAUUU
ensembl:snoRNA